GGCACCAUGGCCAAGUGGCUAAGGCGUGGGUCUGCAACACCCUGAUCGUCGGUUCGAAUCCGAUUGGUGCCUCCA
rnacentral:tRNA from 1 species